GAUGAACGCUAGCUACAGGCUUAACACAUGCAAGUCGAGGGGAAACGGCAUUGAGUGCUUGCACUCUUUGGACGUCGACCGGCGCACGGGUGAGUAACGCGUAUCCAACCUUCCCAUUACUGUGGGAUAACCUGCCGAAAGGCAGACUAAUACCGCAUAGUCUUCGAUGACGGCAUCAGAUUUGAAGUAAAGAUUUAUCGGUAAUGGAUGGGGAUGCGUCUGAUUAGCUUGUUGGCGGGGUAACGGCCCACCAAGGCUACGAUCAGUAGGGGUUCUGAGAGGAAGGUCCCCCACGUUGGAACUGAGACACGGUCCAAACUCCUACGGGAGGCAGCAGUGAGGAAUAUUGGUCGAUGGACGGAAGUCUGAACCAGCCAAGUAGCGUGCAGGAUGACGGCCCUAUGGGUAGUAAGCUGCUUUUGUAUGGGGAUAAAGUUAGGGACGUGUCCCUAUUUGCAGGUACCAUACGAAUAAGGACCGGCUAAUUCCGUG
rnacentral:rRNA from 1 species